UACGUAGGGGGGCAAGCGUUGUCCGGAAUCCGAUUCGGGCGUAAGAAGCGUGUAGGCGGCCCGGUAAGUCCGCUGUGAAAGUCGGGGGGCUCAACCCUCGAAUGCCGGUGGAUACUGUCGGGCUAGAGUGCGGAAGAGGCGAGUGGAAUUCCCGGUGGUAGCGGUGAAUGCGCAGAUAUGGGAGGAACACCUAUGGCGAAGGCGGUCUCUGGC
rnacentral:rRNA from 1 species